UGCUACGCAGACGGCAAUCAAGCAACUUUAAACAGCCCUGAGACUUUGUUCCUGACCUCUUCUGAACAUUUUUCGUUUAAUAACAUCAGAUGGCAUCUCUGAAUGGACGUGCUGAGACAUAGGACUCAGGCAGUAAUGAGCUAGCUAAGUGUUCCUGAUGCUGGACACUGGAGGAAUUUCAGAGAAGGCACCAAUUUUGAUUGGUGAUAAGGAAAGUAUGAGUACAACUUCAAAUGAAAGACAACAAAUGCAUCUCCCACAGAAAAGAACACAACUGAUCACCAUGUCCACUGUGAAUGCUGUCAGGCCCCUGCCAGCACCAACAGCCCCUCCCUGCCCUGGGCUACAAGCCUCAGCCCAAAUCCUGCCCUGGGACCCCUGGUUCUCUUGUGGGGCUUCCCAGAUGGGCCUCAAGUCUGUGGUGUUCUCAUCUCCAGCCCUUCUCCUGUUCCAUCUCCUGCUGCCUCUGGAGGAACCUAUCUCUGGUUGAUUCCCUUGUUCGUGGGCCCUGUUGCCACCCCCUUGCCCUGCUUAUGUGCUGUGAGGCCGUGCCCCGGCUGGUGGAGGCAUCAUCUAUGCUGCAGUCACUCUUGGCUCAUCCUCCCUUGGAGGAAAGCCCCGUUAUCGCUAUUCCCUGACAAACACAGCAAGUUCAUGGAAAUUGCAAUAAGAUAAGUUUCAGUAAGCCAUUAGGAAAGCUUCCCAAGUGCAACCUGUUCUUAAAGUCCCUUCUACCCUUAGUUUCCAUGUACCUGGAAGAUGCCUGCAAAAGAAAAUAGAUCAAGUUAAAUUCAAGGAUGUUAAAGCUACAAUCCUCUGUGUCUUGAGGGUGUGUCUGCACGGUCCUUCACAAUUACAGCUGAUGCUUCCUCUUCAAAAACUGGUAAACUGCUGCUCUGUGACAGGCCUGUAAUGUGAUUCUCUAAUAAAAUUGCAGUCAGGGGUCAAUUUUGGCACCUGUCUUCUAAACCAGCGGCUUCCAUUCAGCUUUUCUCAUGUGGACAGACAACUGGACCUACAAUCUACCUUUUCUCUUAAGCACUUCUUAAGAUUUUUCUAUCUGCCACUAAGGUAUAUUCUGACUGUCUUCAGAAACGGUAGAUGAGAUAUGCCCAUAUGGGAUUCUUAAAAUAUCUGUACCAUUCCAGAGUAACAGAUUUUGCUAUUUUCUUAAAUACCACUGCAAGUUUUCCUGAACAAUUCAUUUUGAAGGAGGCAUGAAUAAAUUCUCCUGAUACUGAGAUGCCCAGCUGGGGUGUCUCAGGCCACAGCUUGUGUGACACUGCACCAUGGCAUCAACAUGACGGCUGCCUCCGGACAAACACAACAAAUAAAAAUAAUCACGAGCACAAACUAGAAAAUAAAUGAGGUAGCUUUGUAUUCAGAAUGGAAAUCAACUAAGGUACACACAGAGCUUUUGCUUCGAUGUUCUAGCGUAUCUGUGUAAUAGCUGUUUUGAUAUUUGCCUGAGAUGUGUCUCUAUUUCCAGUCAAGUAUUAGGAAGCUGAAUGCAAAGUGUAACAGCUUAAUCUUUCUUUUUCUUUCCUCACUUGAUUGCUAGUUUUUCAUCAUAUGUUGCCACAUGGAAAGUUACCCCAAAAAUAUCACAUUUCAAUUAAAGAAGUCAUGUACAGGCAAUGUGAUGGAGUAGGAGACAAGGACUAUGGGGAUGGUCAGAGGAUCUGUACUGGUUAUAGCCAAGUUAAACUGACAUUUUAUUGACACUUAUCUGCAACACACACACGGCUGUUUGUUCUCACCUUUAUCUACUGCCUCUAACAGAGAUUCCUGUCAUUGCUUGGGUUGUUGUUUUCAUUUUGAAUUGGCUUAACUAUGUAGGCUCUAAAUCAGUUCUGAGCAAUGACACAUCUGAAAAAAAUAUUUGUAAGAAAAAAGAUUGUUUCAAGCUAACUUGGUCUGUGUGUUAGAGAUUAAUGAGGAAAAAAAAAAAAAAAAAAAAAAAAAAAAAAAAAAAAGAAUAUUACCAAGGGAAGAAAUAUCUACCAGACUUGUGAUGGGGGUGGAAGAAGAGGACAAGCUUGCACCCAGAGCUGUGUUGCCCCAUCCCUGGAGCUGCUCAAGGCCAGGUUGGAUGGGGCCCUGGGCAGCCUGAGCUGGUGAGGGGCAGUCCUGUCCACAGCAGGGAUUGGGACUCAAUGACCUUCAAGGUUCCUUCUAACCCAAUUAGUUCUAUGAUUUUAUGAUUCCAUGAUUGUAUGAUUCUAUGACAUCUUGCCAUAGAUCUGCUGCAAGCAGCAUAACUCAUGUAACGAUUUUGAAUGCUAGAAAACACUAGCUAAAACACAGACAUGGGAAGGAAAUCACAUUUAGUGCACCUUUAUUUGGUCUCUCAUUCUGGAAUGACUAGAACUGGUUAAAUCAGUUUUAGGACAUCAGAAAAAAAAAAAAAAAAAAAGUGAGAUCUAUUUUCACAUACAUUUUUCUCCAACUUUUCUUUAUAUUGCUUAAGUUAAUGUUUGUUAUUAAAAGAUUCAAAUUUAGCCUGUCUGCUGUGUAGUGGUAUGCUUUCAUACUUGUCAAGAAAACUCUCAUUUUUAAAAAAGAGCUUGAAGAACUAACCCAUCUCUGUCAAUUAGAGAGCUUCCCUGCAUUGCAUGCUUUAUUUGAUCUGUUAUUCAGCAUUCAUAAAUAAUUGAAUC